AGGCGGCGCGCGCGGAAUCAGUUGAGUCUCUUCGGUUCCCGGCUCUUUCUCCUGCGACUGGGGAAAUGGACGCCUGGAGAACGGAAAUCCAGUUAUCAAAAUUGACUCCAGAAGAGAGAACCUAACAGAACAAUAACAAUGGAAGAAAUUGGGAAUAUUAUCAAAAAGCUAUCAUUCUGUUAAACUCCAGGCUUGGAUGGUGUUACAGGUUUAAAAAAAAAAAAAGAAAAAGUCCUUCAUGAAAAAAGAAGAACUUAAGCAACAUGAUGGAUUCAGAAGCUCAUGGAAAGAGACCACCAAUACUAACAUCUUCGAAACAAGAUAUGUCACCUCAUAUUACAGAUUUAGUGAAAUGAAGCAUUACUUGUGUGGCUGCUGUGCAGCCUUCAACAACGUCGCAAUCACAUUUCCCAUUCAGAAGGUCCUCUUUCCACAACAGCUGUAUGGCAUCAAAACGGGGGAUGCAAUACUUCAGUUGAGAACGGAUGGAUUUCGAAACUUGUAUCGGGGAAUCUUUCCCCGAUUGAUGCAGAAGACAACUACACUUGCACUUACGUUUGGUCUGUAUGAGGAUUUAUCCUACCUUCUCCACAAGCAUGUCAGUGCUCCAGAGUUUGCAACCUGUGGCGUGGCAGCAGUGCUUGCAGGGACAACGGAAGCAAUUUUCACUUCAGACAUUGCUUCAAGACCACAAGCACCAUGACAAAUUUGCCAACAUUUAUCAGGCUUUCAAGGCACUGAAAUGUCAUGGAAUUGGAGAGUUUUAUCGAGGUUUGGUGCCCAUUCUUUUCCAGAAUGGACUCAGCAAUGUCUUUUUUUUUUCGGCCUUCGAGGUCACGUUAAGGAGCAUCUGCCUACCGCGACGACUCACAAUUCUCAUUUGGUCAAUGAUUUUAUCGGUGGAGGUCUAUUGGGUGCCAUGUUGGGAUUCCUGUUUUUUCCAAUUAAUGUUGUAAAAACUCGCAUACAGUCUCAGAUUGGUGGGGAAUUUCAGUCUUUCCCCAAGGUUUUCCAAAAAAUCUGGCUGGAACGGGACAGAAAACUGAUAAAUCUUUUCAGAGGUUCUCAUCUGAAUUACCAUCUGUCCCUUAUCUCUUGGGGCAUAAUCAAUGCAAAGGUUAUAUGAAAAAAAACAUCAGUUAAGUGCCACUUAUCAACUGAAUAGACCUUCUAAGAAGAAUGCAGUUUGGCCUCUUCCUUAAUUGGCCAAAUACAAGUUGGUGUCAUAACUCCAGGCCACAGUGAGUUAUGGGCAAAGCUGUUUUCCUUAAGCAUCAACAAAAUAGAAUAAAAGGUUCCAAUAGGAAAAUAUAAGGGUUUUUUUGUGUUUUGUUUUGUUUUUUAUCAUUACCUAAGAUACUUAGGCUAAUUGCCUGGUAAAUAGCUGUCCAUCUGAUGGCCUUUGACAGGGAACCUAAUCCCCAAGAUAAGAUUCUUUUUCUCAAACCAGUCUUGAAAUCUUCUGCAUUGAAACAUAAACGGCUGUGACUGGCCAGAGAGAAGGUCCUCAGGGGCCAGGGGCUCCUCAGUCUUCCUUUGUUACUCCAUUGCUUGCUUCUCUGCCCCCAGGGGCAGCUGCAGAGGGUAGUCUUCAUUAAGCUCAAGCAUAUGACAAAGAGGCAGAACAGAGAAGAAAAACAGCUUAUUAGGUAUAGGCUUUUCUUGAUAAAUUGCUUGUAUUAGUUUUGAAACUAAGCACCUAUUGGAUAGUCGUUAUCCUAUUUCUAUUCAGAUACGGUAGAUCAAGGAGCUAUGAAAGUUCUCAUUUUGCUCUGUGGGUUUGAAAGUUUUCUGUUUGAUUCUGACUGUGGCCUUCAACCCUUCCAAAAUAUCCUUAUGUUAAUUGCACUUAUUUCAUUGUCAAAAGAUGAAGGGACUUAAAUUUUGUAAUAGGUGUUCCAACAAGUUUUCAUAUUAAUUGUGUAUAGAUAAAAUUCUGUUUAGCUUGGUUUCUUUGAAUUAUUGGUGCCAUCUCAGCAAAGGACUGUGGUUAUUUUUCCCCUUGAGUAGGAGUUGGUCAUAUUCAAGCAUCCUGUUCUCUUAAAACUCUCCUUUUAAAAAAUAAACACUUCCAUAACA